GACAGAGGGUGCGAACGUUGUUCGGAAUUACUGGGCGUAAAGGGCUCGUAGGUGGCCACCUAAGUCAGACGUGAAAUCCCUCGGCUUAACCGGGGAACUGCGUCUGAUACUGGAUGGCUUGAGUUCGGGAGAGGGAUGCGGAAUUCCAGGUGUAGCGGUGAAAUGCGUAGAUAUCUGGAGGAACACCGGUGGCGAAGGCGGCAUCCUGGACCGGCAUUGACGCUGAGGCGCGAAAGCUAGGGGAGCAAACGGGG
rnacentral:rRNA from 1 species